CAUAUCAAGUUGAAGUACUGGUUCUCGUACGUUCAGAGAAGUUAAUCAACGUCGAGCCUGGUCAGUACGUAGGUGGGUGACCGCUUGGGAAUACCAGGUGCUGUAAG
rnacentral:rRNA from 1 species